AUGCUUACCUGGCAGGGGAAAUACCACAAUCAUGAAGGUGGUUCUCCCAGGAUGAGGUUAAUCCAUUGCACUUCGGGAGUGCUGACCACUGUGAUUUCUUCAAAUGUGGGAAACUUGAUUUCAUAAUUUGUGCUCCAGGGGACUGUGUUCAUGCUAUCCCCUG
rnacentral:snRNA from 1 species